GAUGAACGCUGGCGGCGUGCCUAAUACAUGCCAGUCGAGCGAACAGACGAGGAGCUUGCUCCUCUGACGUUAGCGGCGGACGGGUGAGUAACACGUGGAUAACCUACCUAUAAGACUGGGAUAACUUCGGGAAACCGGAGCUAAUACCGGAUAAUAUAUUGAACCGCAUGGUUCAAUAGUGAAAGACGGUUUUGCUGUCACUUAUAGAUGGAUCCGCGCCGCAUUAGCUAGUUGGUAAGGUAACAGCUUACCAAGGCAACGAUGCGUAGCCGACCUGAGAGGGUGAUCGGCCACACUGGAACUGAGACACGGUCCAGACUCCUACGGGAGGCAGCAGUAGGGAAUCUUCCGCAAUGGGCGAAAGCCUGACGGAGCAACGCCGCGUGAGUGAUGAAGGUCUUCGGAUCGUAAAACUCUGUUAUUAGGGAAGAACAAAUGUGUAAGUAACUAUGCACGUCUUGACGGUACCUAAUCAGAAAGCCACGGCUAGCUACGUG
rnacentral:rRNA from 1 species